rnacentral:rRNA from 1 species
UACGUAGGGAGCGAGCGUUAUCCGGAUUUAUUGGGUGUAAAGGGUGCGUAGACGGCUUUUUAGGUCUAAGGUUUAAGCCCGGAGCUUAACUCCGGUUCGCCUUAGAAACCGAUUGGCUUGAGUAUGGUAGAGGCAAGUGGAAUUUCUAGUGUAGCGGUAAAAUGCGUAGAUAUUAGAAGGAACACCAGUGGCGAAGGCGACUUGCUGGGCCAUUACUGACGCUGAGGCACGAAAGCGUGGGGAGCAAAUAGG